rnacentral:rRNA from 1 species
AUUGAACGCUGGCGGCAGGCCUAACACAUGCAAGUCGAACGAGUGGCGGACGGGUGAGUAAUGUCUGGGAAACUGCCUGCUGGAGGGGGAUAACUACUGGAAACGGUAGCUAAUACCGCAUACCAUCGGAUGUGCCCAGAUGGGGUUAGCUAGUAGGUGGGGUAAAGGCUCACCUAGGCGACGAUCCCUAGCUGGUCGGAGAGGAUGACGAGCCACACGGGAAUUGAGACACGGCCCAACCUCCUACGGGAGGCAGCAGUGGGAAACAUUGCACAAUGGGCGCAAGCCUGAUGCGGCCAGGCGGGGUGGAGGAGAAGGUCCUUCGGGUUGUAAAGUACGUUCUUCGGGGAGGCGGUACCCACAGAAGAAGCACCGGCUAACUCCGUGCCAGCAGCCGCGGUAAUUC